CACUGUAAGCAGGGGGUGUGUGCGUGUGUUUGCCUGUCUGUAUUCAUGUGACGUCAGGCCCUGGCCGACAGACAGCAGAGUGCUCAACUGAGCCGACCGCGUGCUGCAAUGAGCACAUGGGAGCCGAUCGCUUCGGGGAUUUAUCGUUUCUGCAACUUGAUUUUCCAACGGAUUACGUGAUCCCGUCACAAAGGGGUUAAAGGCUCUCCGACGGAUAAAGCACAGAAUGCUUUGAAGCCUGGGACACAUAUGGCAUGCAGGCCGAGAAACCAGACUUGAUUGGCUUGCAGAGAUGCUGAGUGUAAUAUUUGGAUACUUAUGAUCCUGUACAAGACGGGAGUUGCCGGCGCUCCCCGGGUGGCAUCGGUGGAUUCUUGCCGUGGAUGUACAAUAAUAAACAUCUGUGGACGUCAACGUCUUGGGAGGAAACUGGAUUCUUGGCUACAAGUUCUGAGGAUAUAUUUGGAGCAAGUAUCUAUUCAUUGCUUCUACAAACCAACCCCCCCCCCCCCCCCCCCCCCCUGCAUCAUGGAUAAAUAGGAUUGGAAUUUGGAAAGUCUUCUGCCGAGUAACCGCAUUCACUCAUCCGGAAAAUAUUUUUAUUUUUUUUCUCUGCCGUAUUCCUCAUUCGAUGGAUAUUUCCAAAUAAAUGCAAUGUUUCUUAUAUCACUGGACACGUGUGCCGAUCUGCAGCCCGCAGAUACAGCGCCGGUACAGCCACUGCACAGGUAUCGUCUAAGAGCGCAACGGACAACAAUGUAUCAAGUUCUUAAAGAGGCAGAUUCCUGAUAUAGAACUUAUAUCAUCAGUGUGUUGUGUGUCUGCAGAGAAAGAUUGGUGGGCCGCUGCAAUGUCCUUCCCCUUAUGUACCCUCCAAGACUGGGAAAUGGCAAAAACAUAAUGGGCAUGCUCACUACAAACAUGGACACGCUCGCUACAUUUACAGAUCCACGCUAACUAAAAAUACAGACACAUACAUAUAAUCACCCACUAUAUACA